rnacentral:lncRNA from 1 species
AAUUAACCCCUUUAGGUCUAAGCCCUUAGAGCGCAAUAUCUACUAAGCAAAUAUAUGGAAUUGUUUUAAGGACCCCUGCAGGUAUAAAAAAAAUAUACCUAUAUUUGAUAAAACAUUGAAUUUGGCCUUUACUGCUAUAGCCCAUAGAAACGCAUUGAAUAACACAUUUGUACAUGGCAAACAGACGGUGUCUGUCCUAUUUCUGAGAAAUAUAAGAACUUUGUGAGAGUCUCCCUUUUCUAUAUUGGUGACAUAUUAUUUUGUAGCUCCAAUGGUUCGGUCUGGACAACUUGUUCUGUGAGAAGAUCUCUUCGAAAUGAGGAUGUCCGCGACAGAAAGUUCAGACAACUGACGUAAAGCUUGUGGAUGUCGUAGAGUGGAACAACCGUUGUGUUCGUGAGUCUCAUUUUUCGAUGGUGGUGACACUAGUUUGUAGCUCAAUCCUUUCGGGUUUUACACAUGAUUUCGUGAUGAUUUUCUUGUCUGGAUCCUGUCAUGCAGAGAAAAAGACCGCUUUCACAAACCCACGUUAUGGAAUAGGCUCAAACUCUAUAUCGGUGGAAAGAAGGGAUUGAGCUGCAGCCACAACAAGAAACAAGGAGAGAAGCCUAGCAGCAGGCUUUGUGAAACUCGUCGUGCACAUCAGAUACACACACAACAUCGAUGACUUCAGAGGGCUGGAGUACGUGUUUCUCCAUGAUAGGGCAUGUUUAAAGGAGAGAGUGAAGAAGAGAGAGGAAGAGAGGGCUGUCCACUUUGAUAGAAUGUGACAUGAACAUGGUUGACAACAUGAUGCGCCGAGGCAGGGUUCUCAAGCAUUAUGGACCAUUUACAGUCUGCUGAAGGCUCUGGAGAAGGGUGUCAUUAAUUCAACUGUCAUCCGUAUGACACCCCUGUUAAUGUGCAUGGUUCAGUCUUGGGGCCACUGAAGAUGGAGAGAAAAACAAGAUCAUGGAGUGAGCCAAGAAAUAUAUGGGAACAAUAGCUGGUUCCCCUUCUACGAAAAAUAGAAACAUUUCAUCAACUACCAUGUAUGUAUGUGUUAAUCUAGGCCAACAAUACAAAUAUCAGCAAGAUGUAUCAAGUGAUAAUUUCCAUGCUAUGAAAUUCUCAUGCCGUUACCAGGAAGGCUCUUUAGCUACAUCUUGACCCUAACAACUAAUUAAAAAACACAGAACAUGUUCAGUAGCGGAUGUCUUCUUCAGACAACAGCUGUUGGCCUCUCAGAGGGUCCAACUUUUUCCACCAGGACCUCACUGAUAGGGGUCAAGGACUGCUUCAUGUACACAAUGCUACAACAUGGCCGAACCCAGGGUCCCUUUUAAACCCGUUUUCCUCCACACAGAACAAUUUGGGAGCCCUGUCUCCACUCUUCGCUUUCUCCGCGGUGAAUCGCCGCACCAAAGGGCCUGUGAUGCCUAGUUUGAAGGGUGUGUGGGCUGUUCCUCCUCUCACCGCAACGUCCAAAUCUGUGAGCCAUCUGCUGUUAUCUGAGGAAUGUGCUGCACACUUUAUGGACAUAUAUGUACCAGCGCUUUGACGUCUUCCCUAUUUUUAGACACCGGCCCCGCUGCUGGAGGUUGUUAUUAUGAUGUCAC